UCAGAGUCAGUGGUAUUUCUCCGUAAGAUUUUGGAAAAUAGGUUGAAAUAAGGUCUGUGGUUGACACAAAUUUAGAAGACGGAUCACGUUUUAUUCUACGACAUUAAACACAUCAGCAGUGACCCCCCCCACUCUGGUAAUUUCUGAAGAGUUUACGUGUCUGAAAAACGAUGGUAAGUGGCUGAAUAGGACUACAGAAGCUGUCGAGGACGUUGUACGUCGAACACCUAAACACUCCCACUCAGUCUGUUAGGUUGUGUUUGUAAAACGACAUCAGACUGCUGAUGGAAACAGCUGUGACUUCUAGUUAAACUCAGUGUGGCUGAAAGGAAAAGCUUUGUUAAAAUAUGCAUGAGUGCGAAAGUCAGUAGAAAGGAUCUUAGGUUGGCGUGAGGCUGAAGUCCUGCAGCCCUGCUGUACUCCUCUGUUGCUCGUUUAUAUCAUAACGUUAGCAUUUUGCUUCUGGAGAUUAGAUUUAUGCUUCGAAAUGAUAAAAGUAGGGUAGACAUGUGGAGAUGAUCCGGCUGAACAGAACAUUUAUCAAACAGGUUCCUUUUCCAGAUAAAUUAUUUUUUACAAUAUUCCAAAAUCCUACGGAGAACUUGCAUCGCUGUUUUGUCGAAGGAACCAAUGCAGCUUACUUCCGGGUCGGCCUACCAAAACACGUCAUCCCUGUGGAACUCAAAUCCGGCGAAACAGGAAGUAAAGCAGCACCGCCAUUUCUGAGUUGCUGGAAUCACGUGACUUGCCGUGCUUUGUAGCGUGUUGGUCCUGUAGGCGGUUGUUGCAGAUGCGAAAUGUUCUUCUUUUGAACAUGUUGUGUGGUCGGCUGUUUUAACAACAGUGUGAAAAUACGGGCCUGGCAUAAAGCCGCACAUUGACUGCCCGUGUUUACGGCCUUACGGAUUACAUCGAUUUCCUGGUCGAGCGGAGGACCGAGAUGUGCGUCAAAAGUGGAUCAAAUACAUAAACCGAGAUGGCUUCAAGCCAAACAAGAACACUUGGGUGUGUGGGAUACAUUUUCCUGACGGACGACCCACAAGAGAAAACCCCUAUCCUGUGUUGAUCAUGGGUUAUGAAUGUCAUGUAACACCAGCUAGACCUCCCCCCAAAAGAAGAUGUCUUCAGCCAUUACACCUGAACUCAACUACUGAACCUGAAGCUAUGGAAACAGAUGUGGAUGUUGGGAAUUUGGAGAAUAUGCCUCUGCAGACGUGGGAUGUCGGAACCCAGUGGCCAGAUGUCAUAGAUCACAACUACAGUUUCAGCUGCGGUAACAAGCCGAUGAAGGACUGUGGCACUCAAACGGACCCAACACCAUCAGUGUCAGCACAGAAUUUAAACAACAAAGACUUUAUAUUUUAUACAGGUUUAUGUGCUGACAGUUUCUGGCAACUUUUGCGAGUCUUGUUGACUUUUUGCUCACAACCACUUAAGACCAAAUUGGCCGUCCAUGAACAAUUUCUGCUUGUUUUAAUGAGACUCCGUUUGGGUUUAUUGUUUACUGACUUGGGUAAACGAUUUGGAGUGAGUAGAAGCACGGCAUCUGAAAUAUUUACAUUUUGGAGACCAAUCCUUGCCAGAUUUAUGAGGGAAAAGGUGAUUGCUUGGUUGCCCAGGGAUACGCUGAACAGAAUCAGGCCCAAGUCAUUUCACAAAAAUGAUCCUAAAGCUACAUGCAUCAUUGACUGUACAGAGGUCUUUGUACAAAGGCCAAAGAACUUAAGAAAAAGAUCACAAACUUAUAGUAAUUACAAACAUCAUAACACAUACAAACUCCUAUACUGUCUGUAAUGUCAUGUUUGUAUCAAAACUUUUUGGUGGAAGGGCCGGUCAUAAUUUCAUUACAAAGAACAGUGGUUUUGUUCAUCACCUGAUCCCUGGUGAUGAGAUUUUAGCAGAUCGCGGAUUCACCAUCAUGGAUAUAUUGCCUCCAGGAGUGAGUCUAUCCCUUCCUGCAUUCACACGUGGACGUAAGGAGCUGUCUGAACAUGAGGUGACAUCAACACGACGCCUAGCAAAUGUCAGAAUUCACAUUGAGCGAGCAAUUCGAAGACUGAAAAAUGUUAAGAUUUUGUGUAAUGUUAUGUCUGGUAGGUUGCACAGUGUUGAUGAGAUUGUAAGUAUUUGUGCGGGGUUAUGUAAUUUGCAUCCUCAGUUAAUCCGUAACAGUACUGAAUGAAGAAGAAACACCUGAAGUGUGUGUGUGUGUGUACCAAAUAUUAAUUUGUAUUUCAACAGAAAUAUCAACAAAGCAUCCAACAGUUUCAGACAGCAAUGUAGAUAGUUAGAAUGUACAGGUUUAAAUCGUGAACAAAUGUCGAACUCUUGAUAUGUGUAUUACCGGUAAGUUGUCAUGUGAAAGCACAUUAACAUCUUUAUGUAAUAGCUACUUGAGCCCACACAUUUUCAUGACCCCGUGUGCAAUUGUUGUUGCUACUGCUGGUAGCAGAUGCUGAAAGUACACCCUCUUCAGGUGGCAGAUUUUGUUCAUUGUCCACUCUUCGUUGUAGGGUACAUCUACGAUCACAUGUUCAUUUGGGGUCCACACCAUAAACUUACAAUUCCUUUUUUUUGCACAGUGCAUUGCAGCCUGGACCUGAUAGUAGUACCCUAACCCAGAUGCUGUUUCCCUCAGAACGUACUUUCCAUCACUCAAUCUAACAUCGUAUUUGUUUGAAUCUAUCAUUUUUAGUAGACUGCCACCAUGAGCUUCAAGCUUUUUUGGUGUGGGACACUUGAUCUCAAGAAUAGUAUCUCUGUCAGUAUCUGUGAUUAUUCCAUCGAGACUGGCACCAAGCCAAUUUUCUUGAUCAUGCACAACCAGGCCUGUAGUCUCCACUGUAAACCCUGUUGUCUGCUCGAAACAUUGUCUAGCCAAAGGCUCAGCUUGUUGACCGUACCUAGUAGCCUCAUUUCCAGAAAACCUUGUGUUAAGUUUUCUUUCAACCCAGUUUGUUGGGUCUGCCUUUUUUGGUACCUCAGAUGCCUCACUACUGGUGAUUCUUAUUUUUCUCUGGUCCAGCCACAGCUGACUAUUCUGGCCCUUGGUCUCCGUUUCUAAUCUCUGCCUAUCCUGUUCCCCACAUUUUAUAUAAUUUUGAAAUGUUGUGUUGCAAAGUGUGCAUUUUUGUGAACCCUCUUGCUGUUGCAUCUUCAAUUUUGUACAGUAGUCCUGCUGUAUGGCUACAACACUUCCCUCGGCCGGCCAUGCAGUCACACAUUGCUUCGAGAAUUUUGCCAUCUUCUCUCUGUAUGGUUACUGACACAUUAUGGUACGAGGUCACUGCCUGUGAAAACCUCACGACACCUUUCAAUCUGAUGAUCUCAUCUGCGAUGGCAUGUAGUAUCUGGCCAAUCCAUCCGGAGCUCAUGUAAUUCUGACCUUCAGUCAGUGCCCUGUAGUUUGCGUUCUGAAGCUCAUCGCAUGCCAGACGAUUAAUAAAAGUUUUGGCCACUG